UACGAAGGGGGCUAGCGUUGCUCGGAAUCACUGGGCGUAAAGCGCACGUAGGCGGCUUCUCAAGUCAGGGGUGAAAUCCUGGAGCUCAACUCCAGAACUGCCUUUGAUACUGAGGGGCUCGAGUCCGGGAGAGGUGAGUGGAACUGCGAGUGUAGAGGUGAAAUUCGUAGAUAUUCGCAAGAACACCAGUGGCGAAGGCGGCUCACUGGCCCGGUACUGACGCUGAGGUGCGAAAGCGUGGGGAGCAACAGGAU
rnacentral:rRNA from 1 species